UAGGGAAUCUUCCACAAUGGGCGAAAGCCUGAUGGAGCAACGCCGCGUGUGUGAUGAAGGGUUUCGGCUCGUAAAACACUGUUGUAAGAGAAGAAUGACAUUGAGAGUAACUGUUCAAUGUGUGACGGUAUCUUACCAGAAAGGAACGGCUAAAUGCGUGCUAG
rnacentral:rRNA from 1 species